rnacentral:rRNA from 1 species
GCUUACGGCCAUACCAGCCUGGGUACGCCCGAUCUCGUCUGAUCUCGGAAGCUAAGCAGGGUCGGGCCUGGUUAGUACUUGGAUGGGAGACCGCCUGGGAAUACCAGGUGCUGCAAGCA